rnacentral:rRNA from 1 species
UCGGGAAUUUUGGGCAAUGGGCGAAAGCCUGACCCAGCAACGCCGCGUGAAGGAUGAAGUAUUUCGGUAUGUAAACUUCGAAAGAAUGGGAAGAAUAAAUGACGGUACCAUUUAUAAGCUCCGGCUAACUACGUGCCAGCAGCCGCGGUAAUACGUAGGGAGCAAGCGUUGUUCGGAUUUACUGGGCGUAAAGGGCGCGUAGGCGGCGCGGUAAGUCACUUGUGAAAUCUCUGAGCUUAACUCAGAACGGCCAAGUGAUACUGCAGUGCUAGAGUGCAGAAAGGGCAAUCGGAAUUCUUGGUGUAGCGGUGAAAUGCGUAGAUAUCAAGAGGAACACCUGAGGCGAAGGCGGGUUGCUAGGCUGACACUGACGCUGAGGCGCGAAAGCCAGGGGAGCAAACGG